CGACAACCACGAUCACAAUGAACUAGAAGCAUCAUAGGAGCAGCAUGGCGCCUACGGGAAAUAAACGGGCCAGUUGUAGUAGUAAGACUCGCGCGCUUCCUUGCUCAUGUGCGUGUUCCACUUGAAUUGAUAAGGCUGGUUCUUCUCCCUGGCUUUCUUCCAAUGAUAGUGCUCGAACAUCACAGCUUUAUCAUGCCAGUUG
rnacentral:misc_RNA from 1 species